GCAAACUUGGUCAUUUAGAGGAAGUAAAAGUCGUAACAAGGUUUCCGUAGGUGAACCUGCGGAAGGAUCAUUAGCGAAGCGAAAGGCCCCCGAGGGGGGUCGUGCUGGCGCUCGCGCGCACGUGCACGCCUCCCCGGGGCCGUCCGUCCCUUCACACCUGUGCACACGUCCGGUGGGACCCGGCGCCCCACGUCGGCCCGCCGCCUUUUUUCCACUACUGCCAUGUAGAGUGUCGAAAGCGUCUGCGCUUGCGCAACCUAAUACAACUUUUAACAACGGAUCUCUUGGUUCUCGCAUCGAUGAAGAACGCAGC
rnacentral:misc_RNA from 1 species